UACAGAGGGUGCGAGCGUUAAUCGGAAUUACUGGGCGUAAAGCGUGCGCAGGCGGUGAUGUAAGACAGAUGUGAAAUCCCCGGGCUUAACCUGGGAACUGCAUUUGUGACUGCAUCGCUGGAGUGCGGCAGAGGGGGAUGGAAUUCCGCGUGUAGCAGUGAAAUGCGUAGAUAUGCGGAGGAACACCGAUGGCGAAGGCAAUCCCCUGGGCCUGCACUGACGCUCAUGCACGAAAGCGUGGGGAGCAAACAGG
rnacentral:rRNA from 1 species